rnacentral:misc_RNA from 1 species
UACGGAGGGUGCGAGCGUUAUCCGGAUUUACUGGGUUUAAAGGGUGCGCAGGCGGGCUUUUAAGUCCGGGGUGAAAUCCUACAGCUUAACUGUAGAACUGCCUUGGAUACUAUUAGUCUUGAAUCAAGUAGAGGUCAGCGGAAUACAACAUGUAGCGGUGAAAUGCAUAGAUAUGUUGUGGAACACCGAUUGCGAAGGCAGCUGACUGGGCUUGUAUUGACGCUCAUGCACGAAAGCGUGGGUAGCGAACAGG